UACGGUGGGGGGCAAGCGUUGUUCGGAAUUACUGGGCGUAAAGGGCUCGUAGGCGGCCAACUAAUUCAGACGUGAAAUCCCCAGGCUCAACCUGGGAACUGCGUCUGAUACUGGAUGGCUUGAAUCCGGGAGAGGGAUGCAGAAUUCCAGGUGUAGCGGUGAAAUGCGUAGAUAUCUGGAGGAAUACCGGUGGCGAAGGCGGCAUCCUGGACCGACAUUGACGCUGAGGAGCGAAAGCUAGGGGAGCAAACGGG
rnacentral:rRNA from 1 species